GCACGAGCUGUUGUAAUGAUAAUUGCUGUAUGACUGUAGCAAUAUGAGCCCUGUGGGUGUACGUGUGUGUUAGCAUUAGUGUAUAUUUAGGUACUGGAGGUCACGUGGGAUAGAGGAGGGUAGAAUGGAGCCAAAGCAAGUCCACAAGCAUGUCUGGCUCCAUUGGCGAGCGAGAACUGCAACGUUUAUUUUUGCUAGUGGGUGGGACGACACCUGAAGUAUACAGGAUUGGCGCGAGAGGUCACCGAGUUAGACGGCUGACAUCUGUGUUGCCAGGUCCAUGGUUUCCCAAAAACCUCAGGGAACUUUCCUCAAACAGUGAAUUUCACACUUUGAUCAAGGAUUGGCUCGUAUUGACACGGAUUAUGCCCUACUAUUGGCUAGAAGGUCACACUCAAAGGCGGUCCGCCAAUCGAGGACGUUACGAGGCGGCCCUAUUAGCGAGCCAGCCGCGUUAAAGGCGGGAUUUGUCAGAAUACAGGGUGCCCUCACAGAUGUGCAAGUUACCCAUACCAUGACAGUCUCUGGCUUUUGGACCUGACGCUGAUAACAGCUUGGAUGGUCCUUUUCCUCUUUGGCCUGGAGAACAUGACGGAUGUUUUGUCCAAAAACUAUUUGAAAUGUUGACUCGUCGGACUACAAAACACAAUUCCACUCUGCUACUGUCCAUCUCAGAAAAGUGGGUGGCACUUCCGGACAGUGUUAAUGUAUGGCUUCUGCUUUACAUAGUAAAGCCUUAACUUGCAUCUGUGGAUGCAGCGGCGAAUUGUGUUGACAGACAAAGGCUUACCAAAGUAUUCCCGAGCCCAUGUCAGGAUAUCCAUUACAGACUCAUGACGGUUUUUAAGACAGCGACAUCUGAGGGAUCGAAGAUCACAUGCAUUCAGAAGUGGUUUUCGCCCUUGCCCUUUACGCACCGAGAUCUUACUGGAUUCCUUGAAUCUUUUAAUUGUAUUGUGCACUGUAGAAGGUGAAAUGCCCAAAUCCUAAAUUGCUCCUGUCCCAACAUUUUUGGAACAUGUUGCAUGCAUCAAUUUCAAAAUAAACAUUUAUCUUAAA